rnacentral:rRNA from 1 species
UACGUAGGGUGCAAGCGUUGUCCGGAAUUAUUGGGCGUAAAGAGCGUGUAGGCGGCCCGACCAGUCCGCUGUGAAAGUCCAGGGCUCAACCCUGGAAUGCCGGUGGAUACUGUCGGGCUAGAGUCCGGAAUGGGCGAGUGGAAUUCCUGGUGUAGCGGUGAAAUGCGCAGAUAUCAGGAGGAACACCAAUGGCGAAGGCAGCUCGCUGGGACGUGACUGACGCUGAGACGCGAAAGCGUGGGGAGCAAACAGG